rnacentral:rRNA from 1 species
CGUAGGUGGCAAGCGUUAUCCGGAUUUAUUGGGCGUAAAGCGAGCGCAGGCGGUUACUUAAGUCCGAUGUGAAAGCCUUCGGCUUAACCGAAGAAGUGCAUAGGAAACUAGGUAACUUGAGUGCAGAAGAGGACAGUAGAACACCAUGUGUAGCGGUGAAAAUGCGUAGAUAUAUGGUAGAAUACCAGUGGCGAAAGCGGCUGUCUGGUCUGUCACUGACGCUGAGGCUCGAAAGCAUGGGUAGCAAACAGGAUU